rnacentral:rRNA from 1 species
UACGUAGGGGGCUAGCGUUGUCCGGAAUCAUUGGGCGUAAAGCGCGCGUAGGCGGCCAGAUAAGUCCGGUGUGAAAGUCACAGGCUCAACCUGUGAAUGCCGCCGGAAACUGUCUGGCUAGAGUCCGGAAGGGGCGAGUGGAAUUCCUGGUGUAGCGGUGGAAUGCGCAGAUAUCAGGAGGAACACCGAUGGCGAAGGCAGCUCGCUGGGACGGUACUGACGCUGAGACGCGAAAGCGUGGGGAGCGAACAGG